rnacentral:tRNA from 1 species
AUUUAAGUAGUUUAUUAUAAAAUAUUGAUUUGUGGUAUCAAAGAAAUUUAUUAAUCUUAAAUU